GCUCCCGGGUCCCCGCCUCCUCGCUGUCGCAGGAGGGAGGCCGUCUGCGACCGCGUCCCUCAGGCGUCCCGUCAGGCGGCGGGGAUCUGACAGCUUAGCCUUUUAGGUUUCCAAGAUGGUGGAGCCUCCAGUGGUGAAUUCACCAACCACUGGGAAAAAUGGCUCCAGCUUCUCCUGCUGCCUGGUUCUGCACAGUGGACGGCUUUGUGUUGGCUGUUAUGUUCUGCCUCGUCGGGAUUGCCACUAAGCUGACAAACACCACCUGAAGAUCAGCUUUGGACUACAGACUGCUUAGGACAUUCAAAUUGCUGAGUUCACAUGAGACAAACAUUUUACAGAACUUUGAAUUAAAAAAUACUUAAUUCUAAGACUGCCAAAUACAACCAUGCUGGACAUUGUGGAAAGCUUAGCAAAAAUUGCUUAAUUUUUGAAAGUAGUUUUACUUUAUCUUUCCUUUUUAUUUAGACAAAAAGGCAGGUAUAGAAAUAAGAUAAGAAUGAUAGGGAAAAGAGGUUAGAUUAUUGAAUCUACUCUCAUAGAUCUUUCUAUAUUAUAUAAAAUUAAAGUUA